GUUUUAUGCAACCCUCAGAACCAAAGAAACUUUAACAAAGGAUUAAAAGUUAUGUAAACAAAGAUCCUUUUAUUUACCCCUCUGCCUCUCAAGGAACAGGAGGCUCCUGCCUACCCUCUGCAGUUAUUCUCUCUUGCCAAUCACUCAGCAGGUAACUGACUUAUGGCAGCACUGAUGAGCUCUCAGACCAGAAGCAACUGUCAAUGGAAAUGGUGAAGAAUGCUCAGCUAAGUCUGUUCAGCUGUCCAGAACCCCGCUCAGGGGACACUCGCUCGAGUUGCUGCCCUGAAGUGAAGUCACAGUUCAUGCUUUUUCUCAGCUGCUUCAUCAAGCUGACCCAGAAGAGGGGGAAGACACUUGAAGACUCACUCAAGUGAUGGAUGUCCUGUUCAUUUGAAUUCUUCAUAGCUGAAUAUCC
rnacentral:lncRNA from 1 species